rfam:Pteropus alecto contig81682, whole genome shotgun sequence.
GGAUGUAAGGGUGAUCUGGCUGUGACAUAUGUCACCCCAAUGAUCACCAGGGUUGAUUCGGCUGAUCUGGCUGGCUAGGCGGGUGUCCCCUUCCUCCCUCACCACUCCAUGUGCGUCCCUCCUGAAGCUGCGCACUUGGUCGAAGAGGACGAUUUUCCCCGACAGAGGAGAGGACCAUUCUUUCGGUCAAGGGUAUACGAGUAGCUGCGCUCCCCUGCUAGAACCUCCAAACAAGCUCUCAAAAAGGAUGUUGACCCAUAAAGAAAUAUAGGUUGGAGAUUCUUAGAACUUUUGCUUCACCCCUGUAACCUGUGAUGCCUUUAUGU